rnacentral:rRNA from 1 species
CGUAGGUGGCGAGCGUUAUCCGGAUUUACUGGGCGUAAAGCGUGUGCAGGCGGGCUAGCAAGUGGUGUAUGAAAGCUCCCGGCUCAACCGGGAAGGGCUAUGCCAGACUGCUAGUCUUGAGUGCGAGAGAGGAAUGUGGAAUUCCGGGUGUAGUGGUGAAAUGCGUAGAGAUCCGGAGGAACCCCAGAGGCGAAGGCGGCAUUCUGGCUCGCAACCGACGCUCAGACACGACAGCAUGGGGAGCGAACGGGAUUAGAAACCCCGGUAGUCCAUGCCGUAAACGAUGCUAACUAGGCGCUGCGGGACUCAACCCCCGCGGUGCCGCAGCUAACGCGAUAAGUUAGCCGCCUGGGGAGUACGGCCGCAAGGCUA